UACAGAGGUCUCAAGCGUUGUUCGGAUUCAUUGGGCGUAAAGGGUGCGUAGGUGGGUUGGUAAGUCAGUGGUGAAAUCUCCAGGCUUAACUUGGAAACUGCCAUUGAUACUAUCACUCUUGAAUACCGUGGAGGUCAGCGGAAUAUGUCAUGUAGCGGUGAAAUGCUUAGAUAUGACAUAGAACACCAAUUGCGAAGGCAGCUGGCUACACGAAUAUUGACACUGAUGCACGAAAGCGUGGGGAUCAAACAGG
rnacentral:rRNA from 1 species